CUCUUCUCUCAGAUCCUGGAGAUCCGCUCGAGGGGGGACGAAUCGGACGAAGAGGGGGAGAUGGAGAGCGGCGACGAGGCGAUCCGAUGCGUCGCGGGUUGAGAGAGCGGUGUUGGGCUGGUGGUGGCGGCGACGAUCUCUGCACCUUGCCGGCGUCGCGCCUCCUCCUCUCCGACCUCGAGCUACCGCGUCGGCGUGCCUCUCCCCCUCGCGCCUGCUCCUCUGAGGCCCAGAACCGCCGCGGCGUCGCGCCUCUCCUCCUCGAUCUAGAAGGCCGGCGGCGGAUAAGGUGUAGAAAAGCGGGAGGGGCAAACCUAGCCAGAAGGAGGAGUGGGUCUCGGUCCAUAGCUGGCUGGAGCUCGGUCAAGGGCUGCUGGACGAGGAAGGGAGGAGCACCGCCGCCUCCUGGUGCAGCUCGUCGACUCCCGGCGUCUCCAUCCUCCAGACAAACAACAAGUUGGACUGGCAGGACGAAGAGCCAGGCUGUGGCCUAAUACAUGGAUAUGCCGCUGCAGGAUGUGGGACUCUACCUAGACCUUGGCUGCCUCCCCUGUCUUCCUCCCCUUUCUCAGUCGGCGAGGUUUUGUGUAUGAAGCAUUCUUAGUUGGUAAGUAGCUUCUACUGAAGGAC